CCUACGGGGGGCUGUAGUGGGGAAUAUUGGACAAUGGGGGGAACCCUGAUCCAGCCAUGCCGCGUGUGUGAAGAAGGCCCUCGGGUUGUAAAGCACUUUCAGUGAGGAAGAACGCCUGGUGGUUAAUACCCAUCAGGAAAGACAUCACUCACAGAAGAAGCACCGGCUAACUCCGUGCCAGCAGCCGCGGUAAUACGGAGGGUGCGAGCGUUAAUCGGAAUUACUGGGCGUAAAGCGCGCGUAGGUGGCUUGAUAAGCCGGUUGUGAAAGCCCCGGGCUCAACCUGGGAACGGCAUCCGGAACUGUCAAGCUAGAGUGCAGGAGAGGAAGGUAGAAUUCCCGGUGUAGCGGUGAAAUGCGUAGAGAUCGGGAGGAAUACCAGUGGCGAAGGCGGCCUUCUGGACUGACACUGACACUGAGGUGCGAAAGCGUGGGUAGCAAACAGGAUUAGAUACCCCGGUAGUC
rnacentral:rRNA from 1 species